rnacentral:rRNA from 1 species
UUGGCGACGAGUGGCGGACGGGUGAGUAAUAUGUAGGAAUCUACCUAGAGGUGGGGGAUAACUCGGGGAAACUCGAGAUAAUACCGCAUAAUCCCUACGGGGGAAAGCAGGGGAUCUUCGGACCUUGCGCCUUAUGAUGAGCCUACAUUGGAUUAGCUUGUUGGUGGGGUAAAGGCCUACCAAGGCUACGAUCCAUAGCUGGUUCGAGAGGAUGACCAGCCACACUGGGACUGAGACACGGCCCAGACUCC